GAGAAGCUGGCGUGAGGAAAGUGCUUUCAAUGCUGCGUGACGAGUUCGAGCUAACCAUGGCAUUGAGCGGUUGUCGUUCGCUCAAAGAAAUCACUCGUGACCACAUCGUGACAGAAUGGGACAGUCCUCAUCCUCGUCCGGCCCCGAGACUGUAGAGCGCUAUAUAUUAUGGGCCAGGAACUUUAGCCAAGCAAAUCGCAGGAUGAACUUACCCGGAGCUCAAGAGAUAUAUAUUGCAUUUGCAUUGCAUUUAUGGCAUAAAAUUACUGUCUGUUUUUUUCUGUGGGAACAUGUUUAUGUUUCAUUGAGUUAAAAGGUUAUGUAAUGAUAAUGUUGGCUACUGCUGCCUUUUCACUGUAUA
rnacentral:lncRNA from 1 species